AACGAACGCUGGCGGCAUGCCUAAUACAUGCAAGUCGAACGAGAUCUUCGGAUCUAGUGGCGCACGGGUGCGUAACGCGUGGGAAUCUGCCCUUGGGUUCGGAAUAACUUCUGGAAACGGAAGCUAAUACCGGAUGAUGACGUAAGUCCAAAGAUUUAUCGCCCAAGGAUGAGCCCGCGUAGGAUUAGCUAGUUGGUGGGGUAAAGGCUCACCAAGGCGACGAUCCUUAGCUGGUCUGAGAGGAUGAUCAGCCACACUGGGACUGAGACACGGCCCAGACUCCUACGGGAGGCAGCAGUAGGGAAUAUUGGACAAUGGGCGAAAGCCUGAUCCAGCAAUGCCGCGUGAGUGAUGAAGGCCUUAGGGUUGUAAAGCUCUUUUACCCGGGAUGAUAAUGACAGUACCGGGAGAAUAAGCUCCGGCUAACUCCGUGCCAGCCGCCGCAGUAAUAC
rnacentral:rRNA from 1 species